rnacentral:lncRNA from 1 species
AGGCUGCUGAUAAAGAAGUUUGACAUUCAAAAUGGUGGAAUUGCUGGAUUCCAGAAAUGACUCACCAAUGAUUCUGACCUGAGGAAAAUUCAUUAUCUACAAAGUAAAGAGAGAAGAAGUGUCCCACUUCCCUGACGAUGGAACCCUGGUUGUACCCAGAACUCCAGGCCUCCACUCCAUAAUUCAGGGAGGCACAGUCCUCACUCUUCAGGUCCGGCUUUCUGGCGAUCUCCUUUGCUUUGCCGGCAAAUGCCACCUAGAUAAUACACUCCUUCCUGGCCUUGUUCAAGUGGGUUCCCCU